UUUAAAUUCAAAUUAGUUUGAUCUUUACAUGGACAAAGACUUGCAUUAUUUCUUGAAAAUUUUUGAAGACAUGAAAAAGUUUAAAAUUUCAAGACAAGUUAAAGUUCUUGGAUUCUAGGAACUUUAAUAUAGUCAUCCAAAUUGGUAUUGGAUAGGAAAACCAGACAUUAUAGCCAUUAUAUAGAUUUUCAACAAUGCUAGACUCAGAGUUUAUAUACAGUCACAGAACAAAAAGAAUUUACAAGACUAUCCACAAUCUUCUCAUUUUGAUGAAUUGUUUAACCGCAGAAACUUGAAGAAUACCUUCCGAAAAUCUAGGCUGUAUAGUAUAUACAACAAUAUAAAAGAAUGGGCCAGUUGUGUUCAUCUAUAAGGAACCCUAAAAUUGAGCAAUGACCUUGAAGAGUAAGCAACGUGUACAGUAAGAUAUCUAUCUUUGUAGUUACCAAAGAGUGGGGGUAAGAACCUGGUCUAUAAUUAUACAUGGUAAGUUAUUUUUUGUUGCUUAAAAAUUACGCAUAUUUACACUAUAAAUUUUUAUCUUAGAUCCUCAUUAGGAAAAAAGGGGAUGCAGGUAUACAUCAAUGAAGCAGCAAUCCAACAAAAGUAUUUUUCCAUGUCUCAAAUCCCACCCUUAAAAAUGAAUUGAAAAGUGCUCAAAUUUUUAGACCUGCUGAUAUGAAAACUUGUGCAAUGCCUAAAUCAAACAAUAAUUAUUUUUCUAAAUGGCUUCAAGGUUUAGAUAUGCUAGUUUAUAUUCUUUUAAACAAAACUACCAGAUGCAACUAAAUAUUUUUGAAAAUCUAUUAGAUGACACCAAGAGAAAAAUUCAAUCCUGUUAUUUUCUUUAAAUACUUUAUCAUUGGUCUUUAACUUUGUUAAUUUUUGAAUUGCUCUGGUACUUUAAUUUAUUCAAAUUUUUACAAGUGAAUGGAAGUUGUUUUGAUGAAAAUCACCUUUUAUAAAUGGGAAGUAACUUUGAUAUCUUUUUCUUAUGUGUUUUUAAAUGAAGCAAAAUUUCAUUUUUAAAAGAAACUGAAUUUCUUCUCUCAGUUGUUCCUAUUGGUAAUGUUUUUUUAUAUUCAUAAUUAAUAACUGAAGAGUAAAAUUACAGAAAUUGGUUACAUAACAGAGGAGGUUUAGGAGGGCAGGUGCCCCCCUUUUUCUGGAAAAAAUUUGGUUGCUUACAUAGGGAAUCACUGAAGUUUGGCUGGAGCGGGCCCCUUCAUAGGCAUUAAGUGGGCCUCCACUUAUGAAAAUUUCUGGAUUCGCCGCUGUAUAACAUAACCCUUUGCCUUGCUUUAAUACAUCAACACAUUAUUCUUCAUUUUCCACAAAAUUAAGGCCAGUGAUUUUGCUAGCGCUCGUCACUUUCGUAAUUUACGAAAGGGUUUUCGUAUUGACGAAAGUUUUUCAAAUCAAUUUAAGGCAAUGAUGUAGGAUGCCAUAAUCUAACAAAACACCACAGCAUUGUUACCCUCAUCAUCACACUAACAUGUCAAAUGUGUAUCCUACUUCAUAAUAUCAUUUGAUAAUGUUAAUAUUCAAGUUUUAAAAAAGAAUUUUUAUUAAAAUAUUUUACUCAUUUCUACUCUGCAGAGACUAUUUCACCAGCACUGACACUGAUGCACAGAGACUUCUGACAAAUAAGUACCUGUACUCAAUAGAGUUUAAUGCAACAUUGGCGACCGGGUUUGAGGCAUGGAAAGCACUCUUAUCAUUGAUGGUAGUUUUAAGUGCUUUGAUCUUUUAGAUGAGAUCUCACAUAGAAACUUAUGUUCCAAUGUUUCAUAUAAAUGUUCAGUGCUUUAUAACUGUCAGACAUAUGAUUGACUUUGACUGAAGACUUAUUAUUAGUGUCUGCAGAGUUUAAAUGAGUUUGAUCAAAACCCAGCUUAUAUAUUCCAAGUCUUGAAAAGAUUUGAUUUCAAUUUCCCAUUAAUUUAAUGUUUUUACUUUUGAUAGCAAGGCUGAGGGUUUAUGCACUAGAGUCAUCUUUUUUGGACAAAGAGGUUGUCACUGUUCCUCAACAAAAAUAUUAACGAACAAAUUUGUAAAUCUAAGCAAGAGGCACGCUGAGGAAAGACUUAUCUGUUUCUUUGAAGAUGAAAUGGUUAUAAAAAAUGUUUGAUUAUUUUGUGUAUUUUAUAACCAGCUUCCACUCUUUUGUAAAGUUUGGAAAAAAAAACCAUUAAAAAUAUUUAUCCCUUAAAGGGUAACAGGAUUUUUUUUUUAACAUUAACGAAAAUAAUAAAGUAAUAUUAAUUUGAUUUAAGCAGCCACUUAAGUAAAUUUUGUAAGAUUGAGGUAAAAAACAUGGCUGAUAUAUUAUUUUUUUCCAAGUAAAAAAUUGAACCUCAUUUUGGUCUGUAUUGCAUGCAACAUUUAAAUUGAUCAAAAGUAGUGGAUGGUUGCACAUAUAUACAGCAUGAUCAGAUCUUUCUUUAAAGGAAAGAAAUGUCAAAAUUUGAUAUAAAAAAGAAGCAACCACAAAAAUCAGCAUCCUAAUUUGGUCCCUAUAAAAUAUUAUUUCACAGGCAUAUACUAAAAUUUUUAUGCUUUCAUUUUUUACUAGCUUGAGAGAAAUUUUCUUUGAAAGUAAAAAUCUGAUAUUAAAUCCUCCAAUCAAGUAGCUUCAUUUAAAAUUCCACAAAACAUAAUGAGGCUAAAUUGCAUUCAAAUAGUUUCACCAAGGAGUUGUAAAUUUAGACUAUAAACUACAAAUCCUUGGUUUCACCCGGGUCCAAUAGUUGGAAAUAUUUGACAAGUCCAAUAGUUCAAAGCUUGUAAUUAGAAAAAUAGUGAAAAUAUUGUGUACAUGUACUUAUUUUAUUUAGAAAAUGAUAACUGAGGUAUAAGAAUGUAUACCUAUUGACUUUGUAUGAAUGGAGUAUAGUAAGUUUAUUGUUCCUCAUGAUAAAACUAUUGUCCUGAGGCGUAGCCGAGGGCAGUAGUUGUAUCUGAGGGGACAAUUAACUUAAUAUUCCCUCAUAUCCAGUCAAUUAGUGUUUUAUUAUAUUGAAAAAGACAACAGACAACAAAAGGCUGUGAUAACUCAACUAUCGCAAUGGCAGUAACCCAACAAUAACUUCAUAAAUAUUCUGAAAUGCUAAGGCUAUGUAUUGCACUGAUGUCAACCCUAGAUACAAUGGGUAAAAAUUACUACUCCUGGUAUUUUCAAAAUCCUCCAUUAUUGCUGCAUCGGAAAUCCAGCAAAAUAUGAUGAAGCUUGCAGUCAAAUAGUUUCAACGAGGUCCAAUAGUUGGAAAAUUUUGACUAAUCCAAUAGUUAAAAGCUUGUAAGUCAAAAUAUUGUGUACUUAUUUUUAUAUAGAAAAUGAUAACUAAGGUAAAACAAAUAUUUAUAUUUCAUUUCAGGGGGUAAAGUGACUUCAAAGAAUUGAAAUAAGGUUGGUUGAUCCAUUUUAUUUUAUGUUUUUUAUGUGUAAUGUUUUAUAUGUAUUUCUAUUUCAUUUACAGGUAAACCACAGACAUUUAAUUUAUAAAGUUUCUUUUUGUUGCAGAUGGAGCUGGGAGGAUGUUUCAGUCACAGACCUUGGAUGGACUCCGUUGUAGCAGACUAGGGAGGGUAGCGCAUAAGUUCUCGCAACGCUAUACAAUAGUAACAAGCUCAUUCUACUCUGAGAUUGUUAAAGGGCCUGUUUGAUGGAAGUGACACCAAUGUUCUCCAAUUUUAUUUUUGUUACAGAUGGAGCUGGGAGGAUGUUUCAGUCACAGACCUUGGAUGGACUCCGUUGUAGCAGACUAGGGAGGGUAGCGCAUAAGUUCUCGCAACGCUAUACAAUAGUAACAAGCUCAUUCUACUCUGAGAUUGUUAAAGGGCCUGUUUGAUGGAAGUGACACCAAUGUUCUCCAAUUUUAUUUUUGUUACAGAUGCAGCUGGGAGGAUGUUUCAGUCACAGACCUUGGAUGGACUCCGUUGUAGCAGACUAGGGAGGGUAGCGCAUAGUUCUCGCAACGCUAUACAAUAGUAACAAACUCAUUCUACUCUGAGAUUGUUAAAGGGCCUGUUUGAUAGAAGUGACGCCAACAUUCUCCAAAACUACUAAUUUAUAAAUUUUCUUUUUAUUACAGAUGGGGCUAGCGGCAGAUUCAGUCAUAAACCUUGAAUAUGGCUGAUUAGAGAUCUGCUUCAAUGGAAUUGACAAAAAAUUUCUAAAACAUAUCACUAAUCUUUAUUAUCUGUUUUCAUUACAGCGUUUAUACAGAGAAUAUAGGUAUACUGUAUUUUUAAUUUUUUUUGGUCCUGUUUGUAAGUUUGUCAUAAAGAAGUAGUAUGUGGUAUUAAUGUCAAUGGGAUAUGACACACAGAUGAAAAGAAGUUAAAUACCUUUAUAAGUAUGGAUGAAGAAAGACAGCCUUCCUCAUAACCAAAAGAAAGGACAGACAAAAAUAUACAAAACAAUACACAAACUAAAAAAUGUUAACACCAACCUAAUCAAAGACCAAGGAUGAACUCAGGUGAUCCAGGAAGUCGGCACCAAAAGAAAUGACAGACAAAAGUAUACAAAACACUAAACUCAAACAACUUAAAAUGCACAACAUCAAGCCAACCAGAGAUGAGGGGAUGAACUUAGGUGACCGAGGACAAAAGUACAUCUACUGGAUAGGUGUCUUACUACCAGUACAGGACAGAAGUUGCUUUUUUACUUGUACCACUGAAACUUCACAGAAUAAUUGUGUACAUUUUGAAGUUGUGUACCUGCUUAUAUGGAAUUGUUUGAGGAAUUUCCCCCCAUUUUUCUGUUAAUUCUGAUCUUGAAAAUUGUUUUCCAAAAUUUUCAAAGAUGGUACUAAUUUUGUGUAAUCAUUAACUGCUGCAGUUUUCAAUCUCAAUAUUUGUAACUUCACACAAUGAUUGUACAAAUAUUUAGCAACUUCAUUUUUUUCCUGACUUGGGAACUAAGUAAUUUUUCUUCAAAGGUAAAAAAACCCAUAUCUUUUUGAAUUCACAGAGAGUUUGCAAAUCUAUGAAGGCUUUUACAAAUUUUGGGACUAAAUAUGACUACUAUGAACAUGAGUAGUAAACCUUAAAAUUGAGAUGUUUUUUAUUAAACAAUUCUUCAAAAUAUUAUAUAAAUGUUGAUUUAAUGUGUUUAUUAUACUUUUACUACACUGUAAAUUUUUUUCUACAUUUGUAUAAAUAUUACUACACUGUACUUUUUUUCUUACAUUUGUAUAAAUAUUACUACACUGUACUUUUUUUCUUACAUUUUUAUAAAUAUUACUACACUGUACUUUUUUUUUCUUACAUUUGUAUAAAUAUUACUACACUGUAUUUUUUUCUUUCUUACAAAAAGUCAUCUGUAUAAAUAUUUUCAUAUCAGAUGUCUGAUAACUUAUAUAAAAUCUUUUAUCUAGAGCUCUGUAAAUAAAAAAAAUGUAAACAUAGUUCUAGAAUAUACUUUUAAUGAGUGGAAGAAAUUGUGGUGUACAGAAUACAUUUUUUAAAUUAUCAAAAUACCCCUUUACCUGUUCAAAAUCAUGUCUGGUGUAAUUUUUACAGUACUUUUUAAAUGAAUUAAUAAAUUAUUAGUAUUUUAAAUUGAGAAUUUCUUCAGUUUCCAUGAUUGUAAAAAUAAUGUGAGAUGCUUUGGAACAUUCUGAUGACUAAUAAUGAUGUACAAUGGAAAGGACGUUUCAUUACUUAGAUAAAAUGAAUUCAGUGGACUGAUUAGCAUAAAAAAGUAUGAUGGAAAACCUUUGAAGGCAGUCUGGAUAGCAGCUCUCAGGAAGAUGGUCAAAUAAAUCUUCAACCAAGUCUGAGGCUUUACCAAGAAAUUAAGAAGGUUCUUCUGUGAUAUGUUUUCAUUGUGUGGGAAUAAGACUUGGUGGUCUAAUACAACUAAUACAAAGGUUAGCAUCACAGCUUGUCUGUAAGGAUUGAAGCUGGGAGUGGGCAUUGGAGCUGACUUUUAUGGUAACUGUGGCUGCAAAAAAGGGCUAUGAGAUUUUACUGUAACAGUAGAGAGUGUCAUUCAGACUAUUAUUGUGUAUGUUUGAGAAAAUGUUUAUAAUUUUUACCAUAUAAAGAAAAAUAAUAUGUACAGGUUCUCCAUUUUCAACAAGAUUGGAAGAAGUUGGUUAAUAGGUCUUUGCAAUUUAAAAAAAAUCUAUUUUUUGUUCAUACUCAUAUCUAGGCAAACCACUUCCAGUAGUUUAAGAAUGGAGAAUCUAAAAAAAAAAGAAAAAGAAAAAAAAUGUUCAAUUAUUGAAAGGUUUUUGUUCAGCCUUUGGCUUUAGUCGAAAAUGAGAGAGAGACAUAAGGAUCCUACAUUCUGUUAUUUGCUUGGUCUGACGGCCUCCACAUAUGAGGGGGAAUAGGAGGGGUCCUGAUCCUGAAAUCCAGGGCUUAAAAACACGAAAUCCUGAGAUCCCGAAAUUGGAAGAAAAAAAAAUCCCAGAUCCCGAAAGGGUCAAUCCUGAAAUCCCAAGCUUAAAAACACCAGAUCCUGGAGUCCCAAUAAAGAUCCUAUCCCCCCUCACAUAUAUUCAGUAACUUACUUGCAUAAGCUGAACUUAGUUUUUGGUCAAGGUAGUUUUUAAUGAAGCUGAAGUCAAAUCAACCUGAAACUUAGUACACUUGUUGCUUAUAAUAUGACCUUUCUAAUUUUAAAGCCAAAUUAGACGUUUGACCCCAAUUUCACUGUCUACUGAACAUAGGAAAUGAAAGUGGGGGUUUCAGGUUAAAGUUUUUUUUAGUCAAGGUAGUUUUUGAUGAAAUUGAAGUCCAAUCAACUUGAAACUUAGUACACAUGUUCCCUAUAGUAUAAUCUUUCUAAUUUUAAUGCCAAAUUAGAUUUUUACCCAAUUUCAUGGUUCAUGGAACAUAGAGAAUGAUAGCGCGGGUGGGGCAUUUGUGUACUUUGGACACAUUCUUGUUCUGGUGUGAUUUGAACAGUCCCUCUCUCCCCUGGACAACCAAUCGUUUAUUGCUUAAAUUAUUCAUAUGAAUUUACAUUAAAAGGUUAAAAAAAAUGAUAUUGGUUAAUACUCUAUGCAGAGUGUGUGAUAUAUUUUUUUGUUUCGUCAGGUCUUUUAAGGCAUUCUUUUUCAAUUUUCAGAUCCCACAAAAAUAUAAGCUAAAGGAACCUGCAAAAUAAGAUUUUUCUUUGUUUAAUUUGUAAUGAUAUGUUUAAGAGGAAAAUGUUUGUAUUUGCCCAUCUUUGUCUUCCAUCCAAAACUACAAUUACAUAUAGUAAUCUGUAAGGUGGAUCCAGGGAUUAUGUAUGCAAGAGUAGGGUUUCAAUAAAACACAGAGUUAAAUGUUUUAUAAGAACAAGACUUUAUGGAUUGCUACAGUGAUUUAAUAAGAACUUUUAGGAAUUUUGGUCCUCAAUGCUCUUCAACUUCGUACUUUAUUUGGCAUUUCUAACUUUUUGGGAAAUCGAGCGUCACUGAUGUCAGCGUUGUAGACGAAACGCGUGUCUGGUGUAUAUGCUAAAUUUGGUCCUGGUAUCUGUGAUGAGUUUAUUUAAUAAGAUAUAUUUUGGUUCCUAUGGCACCUUUAUCAGGAUUGAAACUACAAGAUAGUACAAAAUCCUGUAGUGAUAAUUUAUAUUUCACAAUGUCACCAUCAGGAUACAUUAUGAAUAGGGUGUGAAGGUAGAUGUGAAAAUUAACUGGUUCAAGAAUGUUAAAUAAAAUGUUUUUGUAAAUUUGGACGACAUUUGACUUGCAAUUAUGUACUAUUUUCUACACUGGAUGUAGUACAGACUUGCUUAACGUACCAUUUCAACACUGAAAGAAGUACGUUUGUCUGAGCGAAGCCAAUUGGAAGCAUGUACCUCUUAGUGAAGCUAAUUGGGAGUACAUACCCUCUGUCUUGUUGCGAAGCUGAUUGGAAGCAGCUCAUAUACACCUCUGUCUGCUUAACCUAAUUAGAAGCAGUACCCUUGGCUAAGGGGUCCCAAUUAGAGGCAGUAACUCUGAGCGAAGCCAAUUGGAAGCAUGUACCUCUGCAAAAUUUGAUCAAAUAAUAUUCAACAAAUUUUAUUUAACAUUCUUUUAAAGUUUACUUUCAUAUCUUCUUUUAUUUUUUUAUUUAUUAUUAUUCCCCCUGUUGACAUUAAUUAUUAAGUGCAAAUUAUCACUUCACCAUUUUGUACUCUUUUGUCACUAAGUUUUUAUUCUGAUCAAAGUGCUGUAGAAAUUAAAACAAGCCAAUAUAGUUUAAUUACUCCAACAAUCCCUGAAGUAUUAUUAUAAGAAUUAUCAUAAAUGAAUCUUUUAUAGACCAUUGAAAUAAAAAUAAAUACUUUGCAUUUUGCUGGUUAUUUAUUUCACUUUGUGUCAAGCCUUCGAAUGUAGUUGAAAAAACAAGAAAUAGCAAUUCUUCAUCCUUUUGGCUGCUGCGGCGGUGAUAAAUAUUCACUCUGUAGUUUUAAGUUUUUGAAAUUUUAAUUAUAUUCUUAAACUAUCCUGGAUUUUUACAAAACUUGGACAGAAGCUUGUUUAUGAUCAUAAGAUAAUAGAAGUAAAUUUUGUAAUUUAAAAAAAAAAAUAUUUUUACUUAUAACUGGACUUUCUGCCAGGAAACAAUAUAUUCACUCUGUGGUUAAAGUUUUUCAAUUUUUUUAAUAGCUUUCUUAAACUAUCCUGGGUUUGUACCAAACUUGGACUGAACCUUGUUUAUGAUCAAGAGAUAAUAAUACGUAUCUAGCAGGAAAAUGUGUACCUGUUUAUCUGUAUUUUACUUAUAAAUGGACUUCGUUUUAUUUCCAGUUAAUAUUAUUUAGUCUGCAAACAUUUAUCAAACUCAAAAGAUCCAGAACUUUUCACAAAGGGGGGGAGGGACUCUCUAGUCAUGCUUCAAUGAUUCCCUAUAUAAUCAACCAAUUUUUUCAAGGGAAAAGGGGAGGGGCUGGAUUCCCCUUAGGUGGAUUUCUACCAAACUUGGACAGAAGUUUCUUACAAUCAAAAGAUAGUAUGGAGAGAAGGAAUAUUUUAUUGAUAUUUUCCCUCUUUUUUGUUGAGGCUGAGAUUAACAGUUGGCUAGACAGAACCUUUACAAACUUCAUUUUAGCAAAUUGUAAUAUAUUUUUCACCUUUGUCAUGUUUAGCUGAGUUCAUAAAAAAGGAUAUAUUUUUUUUAAGAAUAUUUUACAAGGAGCAUAGUUGAAGAAUAUCUUGAUGAAAGUAGAUUGAUUGACUUUUUGGUAUUUAACCUUAUUUGAGAAUGAUUUGCUAUAUUUUGGCUGCCAGUUUUUAUUUGUGGAAACAGCCUGGUAAAAACAUUCCCUUUAACAGAGAAACUGGCAACUCUUGUCAAUUAAGAUUGAUGUUAAACACACCUACCAUGUCAGGGGCAGAUCCAGGCAUUUUAUAGGGGGGGGGGGGGGUCCCAACUAAGGACAAAGGGGAGUUCUAACUAUAUGUCCCCAUUCAAAUGCAUUGAUAGGCCAAAAGAGGAGGGAUUUCAACCCCCAGAACCCCCUGGUGGAUCCUCCAACGAAUGUGAGGGUACAGAGAAUUAACAGACUAGUGAAACAGUAGUUGAACUACUUUGACCGUUCAGCCACCAUUACUCCAUCUGCACUAAAAAUGUUAUUGAAAUAUAUAUGUUGAAUAUUUGUAAUUUACUUUUUUUUUUUUUUUUGAUUACCAGUACACUAUUUUUGUUUUUUUUUGUUAUGUAAAACAAAGAUUUGGAGUUCUAACAGGGUGAAAUUUAUGUCAAAGGGAGGUAAUUUAUUGUACUGUGUUUAACUUCAAAUACUUGAAAUUCCCUCAAUGUUAGAUUUUUAUUUAUGGGAAUACUCACGUUUAUGCAUAUAUUUUUUACAUAUCAGAUGUUUUAUUGAUAUAGAAAUUUAGGUUAGGAAAAAUUAUGUAUCACUUAAAAUAAUUACAUGAUUUUUUUUUAAAAGUUUAUUAAUUGAAAGUACAUCUGAUACUUUUAUGUAUGUUAUGUUAUUUUCUAAAACCAAAUGGACACAACAUAGAUUGACAAUAAGAUAUUGAGAAGAACCACCUUAUCAGCCAGGAUAGCAGCUCUUACGAAGAUGGUCAAUCAAAUCUUCAACCAAGUCUGAGGCUUUACCAAGAAAAUAG